CCAAUGACUGUGGCAACAAGCCCUGCGCAGUGCAACAAGGGAGGGAGGGGGCAGAAACCAUGGCAACUCAAGCUGUCACAGCAACAGCACCCAGGAAGGUGAAGGGGAGGGCUUCCCAUCCCUUAAAGAGACAGGACUCCCUCUGUGAGCAGAUGACAUGUUAUUCUUUAGUCACACACCAACGUCUUGCUUAAUUUAUUUAACCAGAAAAGGCUACGGCGAUGUCCUUGACGAGACUAUAAGGAAACACGAAGGGGAGGAGGGGGGCAACAGCAAGUUGCCAUGGCGCCAUGCAGCAUUUCUGCUUCACUGACUUGAGCUCACAGCACUCACAUGGGCAAACGUCACGUUAGAGCAGAGGACGAGAAGCAGACGGGUCACGAUUGGAGCUGGAACGAGCAAAUAAUGGCAAAAAUGACCUGAUCGUUUCAGCAAACAGCAGAGAGGUCCUGCUUUAUUCAGUAUACAGCGACUGAGAGGCUACGAAGUGAAACGUCACUGCAGCAACAGGAAGGUUAAGAAAAGCCACCUGCUAGCUAGUUUAAAAAGGAGGGAUCUGUUACAGCCCAGCUAGCAGCACAACAACAGGUCACCUGAGCCCCGGCUCCUCUUCCCAGCUGGGAGGCCAUGUGACUCUGUGGGUCUCUGGGGCCUGGGCACCACACAUGAGACCACCAGAGACCGGGGAAACGGCAACCCGGGUUAGUCCCACAUGGUAAAGAAAAGGAAAAAGAAGAAGAGGAAGAGGAGCAGCUUCCUGCUUACAGGCCGGCUUUUUGAUACCAUGAGCUUCUUAGAGUGCAGCUAAGCUUAAAGGAGGCUGUGUCAUCUGAGACUGCCAUGAAUCCACACCACUCGCUCUGUCGCUAUGACAAGAGAGGCACCACGCCUCCGCUCUCCAUCUUUGUUAACACAACAAACAAAACACACACACGGCAUCAUGCACAUGGCCAUCAGGCUCGCUUUAAUCCAUCCAGGUACUCAUCACUACCUGUGCUGCCACAAACCAAAAGGAGCAACGAGAGUUCAAAGAGAGAGAGAAAUGUUUUGGGAUGUUGUGUGUUAAAGGGCAGAGUAUCAUCAGACACUAAGCAGUAAUCACUUAACUUUAUUAAAUGAC